CUCAACUCUAGUGAGGUAGAGCCGUGGUAUUGCGUCACCACGCCGUCAUCAGUUUGAGGAAAAUUUCAU
rnacentral:pre_miRNA from 1 species